rnacentral:rRNA from 1 species
AGUGAACGCUGGCGGUAGGCCUAACACAUGCAAGUCGAACGGCAGCACAGUAAGAGCUUGCUCUUACGGGUGGCGAGUGGCGGACGGGUGAGGAAUACAUCGGAAUCUACUUUUUCGUGGGGGAUAACGUAGGGAAACUGACGCUAAUACCGCAUACGACCUACGGGUGAAAGCAGGGGAUCUUCGGACCUUGCGCGAUUGAAUGAGCCGAUGUCGGAUUAGCUAGUUGGCGGGGUAAAGGCCCACCAAGGCGACGAUCCGUAGCUGGUCUGAGAGGAUGAUCAGCCACACUGGAACUGAGACACGGUCCAGACUCCUACGGGAGGCAGCAGUGGGGAAUAUUGGACAAUGGGCGCAAGCCUGAUCCAGCCAUACCGCGUGGGUGAAGAAGGCCUUCGGGUUGUAAAGCCCUUUUGUUGGGGAAGAAAAGCAGCAGGUUAAUACCCCGCUGUUCUGACGGUACCCAAAGAAUAAGCACCGGCUAACUUCGUG